AGGCCGAAAGGCGUAGUCGAUGGGAAACAGGUUAAUAUUCCUGUACUUGGUGUUACUGCGAAGGGGGGACGGAGAAGGCUAUGUUAGCCGGGCGACGGUUGUCCCGGUUUAAGCAUGUAGGCUGAUUGUCCAGGCAAAUCCGGAUAAUCAAGGCUGAGGUGUGAUGACGAGGCACUACGGUGCUGAAGUAACAAAUGCCCUGCUUCCAGGAAAAGCCUCUAAGCAUCAGGUAACAUCAAAUCGUACCCCAAACCG
rnacentral:rRNA from 1 species